rnacentral:lncRNA from 1 species
CUAGUAAUGUGUAUUCUAGUCCAAACUAACUAGCCCAAAAUUGAGCUUUAACUCCAUCAGUCUUGCUUGUACGUCACUCGUACAAUGGCCACUCAAACCAGCGAACACUGAGAUCCACACAUCCUUCUGGAUCUGCCAAGGCGGAGGCCUAUCUACUAGCCUCUUCCAAAGAGUUACAAAUGGUCCAGUUUUAGGUCUACAGCUAAAUCAAUGAAAUGCUUUCAGAUUGAUUCAGCAUACAAAACAAUGUCAAAAGGAGCUUUUGUUCCAAGAAAUCAACACUCAACCACAUUUUUCAAAUGCGAGACAGCAAUGCUGGUUGACAAACUUGACUAGAGAGAAUGAAGCACCAUUUCACAGACUGCAUAGUGUGGAUUGUUUUGAAAACUAUAAAUAGCAAGAAAGCAGCGAAAAUAGCGACGACGUCCAAACAUUCCGCAGCCAACAUGUCGCACUACGAAGUCAGGUUUCUCGAUAAAUAAGACGGCGGCAACAAUGACAAAAAUCUUCGGUCGCCGCCCCCUCCUCCCAUCUUGAUACACAGGCUACAAGCAGAGUCUUUGGUAUACUGUCAACA